GCGANUUUAGCGUAAUCACUGUNGUUCUUUAANUUGAGGGGAUUANGUAUGAANGGGCCCCANGAGGANUACACUGUCUCNUUUUUNGUAAUCAAAUGAAANUGAUCUCNUNGUGAAGAAGCGAGGAUGACUAUAUAAGACGAGAAGACCCUUAUGGAGCUUUAAACAACCGGGGUACUUGCUAAUUCAUUUUAUAUCUUCUGAAAACUAAACNAAUUAAAGCAUNUUAUCACCAAGUUUUAGGUUGGGGUGACCACCGGAGAAAAAAUUAACCUCCACGCUGUAAGAAAUCCACCAUCUUCUAAAGCUUAGAGCCACAUUUUCAAGCAUCAACAUAUUGACUUCCAUUGACCCAAUAAUUUGAUCAACGAACCAAGUUACCCUAAGGGAUAACAGCGCAAUCUACUUUAAGAGCUNAUAUUGACAAGUAGGUNUACACCUCCCNUGUUGGAAUCAAGGGGUUCU
rnacentral:rRNA from 1 species